GAGGUGAGGCUGGUGGAAUCUGGAGGCAGCUUGAUAGAGCAUGAAGGGUACAUUCAACUCUUUUGUCAAGCUUCUGGAUUCACCCUCAGUGGUUACUGGAUGCACUGGAUUUGCCAAGCCCCAGGGAAGGGGCCAGAGUGGUUAGCAAAUAUAAAAUAUGAUGGGAGUGAAAAAUACUAUGCAGUGUCUAUGAAGGGGUGAUUUGCCAUCUCCAGAGACCUUCCUAAGAACUUUCUUUAUCUGCAAAUGAGCAAUUUGAGAAAUGAGGACACUGCAAUGUAUUACUGUGCAAGAG